rnacentral:rRNA from 1 species
CUUAGCCCUAAACAACGAUUCUUAUUACACAACACUAUCCGCCAGAGAACUACAAGCGAAAAGCUAAAAACUCCAAGGACUUGGCGGUGCUUCAAACCAACCUAGAGGAGCCUGUCCUAUAAUCGAUACUCCACGUUUCACCUCACCCCCCUUUGCCAAUCAGCCUAUAUACCGCCGUCGUCAGCCUACCCUAUGAAAGAAACAAAGUAGGCAAAAUAGUCAACAACUAACACGUCAGGUCAAGGUGUAGCACAUAGGGCGGUAGAGAUGGGCUACAUUUUCACAACGAACAUACGAAUAACACAUUGAAACACGUGUUUAAAGGUGGAUUUAGUAGUAAUACAGAGAAGAACACCUGUAUUAAACCUGCUCUGAAGCGCGCACACACCGCCCGUCA